GACGGGGGAUGCGAGCGUUAUCCGGAAUGAUUGGGCGUAAAGGGUCCGCAGGUGGCACUUCAAGUCUGUCGUCAAAGACUGGGGCUUAACCCUGGAAAGGCGGUGGAAACUGAAGCGCUAGAGUGCGGUAGGGGUAGAGGGAAUUCCCGGUGUAGCGGUGAAAUGCGUAGAGAUCGGGAAGAACAUCGGUGGCGAAAGCGCUCUACUGGACCGCAACUGACACUCAGGGACGAAAGCUAGGGGAGCGAAUGGG
rnacentral:rRNA from 1 species